rnacentral:tRNA from 1 species
GGGUGAAUACCAAAGUAGUCAAAUGGGUCUGACUGUAAAUCAGAUGGUUCGCCUUCGGGGGUGCAAAUCCCUCUUCACCCA